rnacentral:lncRNA from 1 species
CCAGGCUGCAGGUUUGAGAGCCGCUCUGGAUGGGCUCGCUAGAGUCGUUGUUGUGGAAGCGGUGCAUUUACAGUGCAACAGUCAGCACAUUGAAAAUACCAAUAGGAAUACAAAACAAAGUCACAUUUACUGAUUUAAUUGUAUUGCAUUCAGUUGUAUCCAGGAAACAGCCUCCAACCAUGGACCCGCACAGCGGCCGCUGGCUCGGUGCGCGGCCGCCCGCCGAGAAGCCCAGUCC